rnacentral:ncRNA from 1 species
UGAGAUCCGAUGAACGGGCCAGUAGUCAGGAACCCGCCUAGUCAGAGAGGAGACGCCACGGCUGAAAGUGUCUCUCUAGUGCGCCUUGAUGAACGACACCCUGGAGGACCCCCUGUGAAAUUCUUGCCGGCAAGAUCGGUAGCAGGGUGGCGUGACCGGACGUUACCCGGCGAGUGGAAGCUGUUUUGUGUGCAGCUUCAAGUAGGGUGGUACCACGGGUAGUCACAGCUCCCGUCCCUAAG